GUUCCCGCCGCAGGCACCGAGACGUCGCCCAGAUGGAAGAAACUCUGGAGAUGCGCGCUCCUACACCGGUGCCGCGGCGCCCGGGCCCAGCACCACGCACCUAUGCGCGCCUCUGCCGGUCCUCCUAGAAAUCCCGCCCUGCCUACCCGCGGCGCGAGACGCAACGACGCUUUCAGGGGUCAAAGACCUGGCAGAAAUGACUUCCCAACCCCAGAUGCCCCCAGCAGCAGUAUUUAGCAGUCAUACAAUUGCCUGAAAUGAAGAAUGAGUAAUCUGGAUGAGUCGGCCCUGAAAUCGACCUGCAACUUACCCGGAACGUGAGCUGUCUCUCUCUGACCUCUGCUGGCUGCUUCACCUGGAGUCUGAGUCCGACUCAUGUAGCACUUCACUGUCCGCGUUAGUUUAGCCUUCACUGUCAGCAACUCGUCACCUUGUCCUCUUGCAGCGAAGGUUUGGAAUCCCAUCACGGGUGUGCAGUGGUUAGUCCUGAGAUCAUGGUGGUGCUAGGAGAACCUGCCAACCAAUACAGAAAGUUGUCACGAAUAGAAACCUAAGCUCUGGCCGGGUGCGGUGGUUCAAGCCUGUGAUCCCAGCACCUACUUUGGGAGGCCAAGUCGGAUGGAUCACUUGAGGUUAGGAGUUCGAGACCAGCCUGGCCAACAUGGUGAAAGCCUGUCUCUACUAAAAAUAUAAAAAUUAGCCGAGCGUGGUGGCGGGUGCCUGUUAUGCCGGCUACUAGGGAGGCUGAAGCAGGAGCAACCCGGGAGGCGGAGGUUGCAGUAAGCCGAGAUCGCGCCAUUGCACUCCAGCCUGGGCGACAGAGCAAGACUGUCAAAA
rnacentral:lncRNA from 10 species